rnacentral:rRNA from 1 species
CACGUAGGGCGCAAGCGUUGUCCGGAAUUAUUGGGCGUAAAGAGCUCGUAGGCGGUCUGUUGCGUCCGCUGUGAAAACUCGGGGCUUAACCCCGAGCCUGCAGUGGAUACGGGCAGACUAGAGGUAGGUAGGGGGGAGAAUGGAAUUCCCGGUGUAGCGGUGAAAUGCGCAGAUAUCGGGAAGAACACCCGUGGCGAAGGCGGCUCUCUGGGACGGUACUGACGCUGAGACGCGAAAGCGUGGGGAGCAAACAGGAUAGAAACC